UACGUAGGGUGCGAGCGUUGUCCGGAAUUAUUGGGCGUAAAGGGCUCGUAGGCGGUCUGUCGCGUCAGGAGUGAAAACUCGGGGCUCAACCUCGGGCCUGCAGUGGGUACGGGCAGACUAGAGUGCGGUAGGGGAGAUUGGAAUUCCUGGUGUAGCGGUGGAAUGCGCAGAUAUCAGGAGGAACACCGAUGGCGAAGGCAGAUCUCUGGGCCGUAACUGACGCUGAGGAGCGAAAGCGUGGGGAGCGAACAGG
rnacentral:rRNA from 1 species